AGUCUUGUAGUCAAAAAAUAGAUGUAAAAUUGCAAAUUUUAAGUUGUAUGAAAUAUACUAAGGCUU
rnacentral:tRNA from 1 species